rnacentral:rRNA from 1 species
UACGGGGGGGGCAAGCGUUGUUCGGAAUUACUGGGCGUAAAGGGCUCGUAGGCGGCCAACUAAGUCAAACGUGAAAUCCCUCGGCUUAACCGGGGAACUGCGCUUGAUACUGGAUGGCUUGAGAUUGGGAGAGGAAUGCGGAAUUCCAGGUGUAGCGGUGAAAUGCGUAGAUAUCUGGAGGAACACCGGUGGCGAAGGCGGCAUUCUGGACCACAACUGACACUGAGAGACGAAAGCCAGGGGAGCAAACGGG